rnacentral:rRNA from 1 species
ACGAACGCUGGCGGCGUGGAUAAGACAUGCAAGUCGAACGGGAGAAUUGCUAGCUUGCUAAUAAUUCUCUAGUGGCGCACGGGUGAGUAACACGUGAGUAACCUGCCUCUUAGUGGGGAUAGCCCUGGGAAACCGGGAUUAAUACCGCAUACGAUUGAAAGAUCAAAGCAGCAAUGCGCUAGGAGAUGGGCUCGCGGCCUAUUAGUUAGUUGGUGAGGUAACGGCUCACCAAGGCGAUGACGGGUAGCCGGUCUGAGAGGAUGUCCGGCCACACUGGAACUGAGACACGGUCCAGACACCUACGGGUGGCAGCAGUCGAGAAUCAUUCACAAUGGGGGCAACCCUGAUGGUGCGACGCCGCGUGGGGGAAUGAAGGUCUUCGGAUUGUAAACCCCUGUCAUGUGGGAGCAAAUUAAAAAGAUAGUACCACAAGAGGAAGAGACGGCUAACUCUGUGCCAGCAGCCGCGGUAAUACAGAGGUCUCAAGCGUUGUUCGGAAUCACUGGGCGUAAAGCGUGCGUAGGCUGUUUCGUAAGUCGUGUGUGAAAGGCAGGGGCUCAACCCCUGGAUUGCACAUGAUACUGCGAGACUAGAGUAAUGGAGGGGGAACCGGAAUUCUCGGUGUAGCAGUGAAAUGCGUAGAUAUCGAGAGGAACACUCGUGGCGAAGGCGGGUUCCUGGACAUUAACUGACGCUGAGGCACGAAGGCCAGGGGAGCGAAAGGGAUUAGAUACCCCUGUAGUCCUGGCAGUAAACGGUGCACGCUUGGUGUGCGGGGAAUCGACCCCCUGCGUGCCGGAGCUAACGCGUUAAGCGUGCCGCCUGGGGAGUACGGUCGCAAGAUUAAAACUCAAAGAAAUUGACGGGGACCCGCACAAGCGGUGGAGUAUGUGGCUUAAUUCGAUGCAACGCGAAGAACCUUACCUGGGCUUGACAUGUAAUGAACAACAUGUGAAAGCAUGCGACUCUUCGGAGGCGUUACACAGGUGCUGCAUGGCCGUCGUCAGCUCGUGUCGUGAGAUGUUUGGUUAAGUCCAGCAACGAGCGCAACCCCUGUUGCCAGUUACCAGCACGUCAAGGUGGGGACUCUGGCGAGACUGCCCAGAUCAACUGGGAGGAAGGUGGGGACGACGUCAGGUCAGUAUGGCCCUUAUGCCCAGGGCUGCACACGUACUACAAUGCCCAGUACAGAGGGGGCCGAAGCCGCGAGGCGGAGGAAAUCCUGAAAACUGGGCCCAGUUCGGACUGUAGGCUGCAACCCGCCUACACGAAGCCGGAAUCGCUAGUAAUGGCGCAUCAGCUACGGCGCCGUGAAUACGUUCCCGGGUCUUGUACACACCGCCCGUCACAUCAUGGAAGCCGGUCGCACCCGAAGUAUCUGAAGCCAACCGCAAGGAGGCAGGGUCCUAAGGUGAGACUGGUAACUGGGAUG